rnacentral:lncRNA from 1 species
ACAAAGGAAGACAAUUAUCCCCUCAUCUCCACACGAUGCUGCAGCAGGGACUGAGAGAAUGGGGGCCUUUAGCAGCCCCUCGGAGAAAGAGUUGGCAGGGAGGGGGAACAGCAACGGCAGUGCCUGGGAGCACAGAGAGGAUCAGAGAAGAAGAUGGGAGAGGGCCCUUAGAGGAGGAAGUGGCCCUGGGCUGGAAGUGGGAGGCAGGCAGAGGGCAUGGGGCCUGCCUGUUUUCAGUCCUGGAUUUGGGAAAACGGGGAAAACACAGAGCCUGUGGAGGACUUAGUGAGUCAAUGCUGUUGGCAGGGUCUUCAGUGGGCUGCAUGGUUGAAUGCGCGCUGCUUCAGCAGAGAGAUCUAGCGUGGGCCCAGAGAUGUGGACAUCUCUCCCUUUCACACACCACACACACUGUGAGGCACAGUGACACAAACACAU